rnacentral:rRNA from 1 species
GUGGGGAAUAUUGGACAAUGGGCGAAAGCCUGAUCCAGCCAUGCCGCGUGUGUGAAGAAGGUCUUCGGAUUGUAAAGCACUUUAAGUUGGGAGGAAGGGCAGUAAGUUAAUACCUUGCUGUUUUGACGUUACCGACAGAAUAAGCACCGGCUAACUUCGUGCCAGCAGCCGCGGUAAUACGAAGGGUGCAAGCGUUACUCGGAAUUACUGGGCGUAAAGCGCGCGUAGGUGGCUUUGUAAGUUGGAGGUGAAAUCCCAGGGCUCAACCUGGGAACUGCCUCCAAAACUGCAUGACUAGAGUACGGUAGAGGGUAGUGGGAUUACCUGUGUAGCGGUGAAAUGCGUAGAUAUAGGAAGGAACACCAGUGGCGAAGGCGACUACCUGGACUGAUACUGACACUGAGGUGCGAAAGCGUGGGGAGCAAACAGGAUUAGAUACCCGAGUAGUCC